AUGAGAGUUGGCAAUACCCGAAGUCCGUGAGCUAACCGCAAGGAGGCAGCGGCCGAAGGUAGGGUCAGCGAUUGGGGUGAAGUCGUAACAAGGUAGCCGUAGGAGAACCUGCGGCUGGAUCACCUCCUUUCUAAGG
rnacentral:rRNA from 1 species